AUCACUGUUGCAUUGUUUUACCCUUUGUUCUUCAUCUUACCAAUUUCUGUGAUUUUUCCCUUCCCAUCACCAAAUCAGAUAAACUUAUAUACAAUACAAAGGGUAGCAGAAUCAAAAUCAGUGACAGAAGGGCAUAAACCAAAGGAAGAAAAGAGAAAAUUUUAAACAGU